rnacentral:rRNA from 1 species
UACAGAGGGUGCGAGCGUUAAUCGGAAUUACUGGGCGUAAAGCGCACGUAGGUGGCGACGUAAGUCGGGUGUGAAAGCCCCGGGCUCAACCUGGGAAUUGCAUUCGAGACUGCAUUGCUGGAGUACGGAAGAGGAUGGCGGAAUUCCCGGUGUAGCGGUGAAAUGCGUAGAUAUCGGGAGGAACAUCAGUGGCGAAGGCGGCCUUCUGGUCCAGUACUGACACUCAAGUGCGAAAGCGUGGGGAGCAAACAGG